GUUCAUCCCACCCCACAUGGUGCAGCGAUGCCCUGCAAAGAAAAUUAAAAGUCAGUUAGGGCAAAUGCGCCCAAAGGCUCUGGAUUAAAGUUACAGAAAAAAUUUUUAAACGGAUAUGCUUUGUAACUCCUCUUUGGUCCAGUGUGUUCCCAAUACCCCCAGCUGCCCCUAGCACAGUCCCAGUCACUUCCAGUACUAGUCCAGUAUGAUGCCAGUCUCUGCCAGCAGGGCCCCAGUCACUCACAGUUGCCCCCAGUUGCCCCAGCACGGUCCCAGUUUUCGCCCCAGCCCAUUCCCAGUCACUCCCAGUUAGGCCCCAGUCACUCACACUUGCCCUCAGUUGCCCCAGCACGGUCCCAGUUUUCGCCCCAGCCCAUUCCCAGUCACUCCCAGUUAGGUCCCAGUCACCACCCCUAUAGUCUCAGACACUCCCAGUAUAUCCCAGUUGCACUGAACAAUCUCAUAGUCAUUCCCAGGCACUCCCAGUUACCUCAGCGUGGUGGGGGGGGGGGGGGGGGGGGGGGGGGGGGGGGGGGGGGGGGGGGGGGGGGGGGGGGGGGGGGGGGGGGGGGGGGGGGGGGGGGGGGGGGGGGGGG
rnacentral:lncRNA from 12 species